rnacentral:rRNA from 1 species
GACGUAGGAGGCGAGCGUUGUCCGGAUUCAUUGGGCGUAAAGAGCGCGCAGGCGGCUUGGUAAGUCGGAUGUGAAAUCCCGAGGCUCAACCUCGGGUCUGCAUCCGAUACUGCCCGGCUAGAGGUAGGUAGGGGAGAUCGGAAUUCCUGGUGUAGCGGUGAAAUGCGCAGAUAUCAGGAGGAAAACCGGUGGCGAAGGCGGAUCUCUGGGCCUUACCUGACGCUCAGGCGCGAAAGCUAGGGGAGCGAACUGG